UUAUAACAUUUAUGAAGUAUAUAUUUCUUUGUCUAUGCAGAUAUAUCUUGCAGAAUUUGCAAAUAUAGCGGCGGUGUAUCUUAGUAUUCUCUCUUGGGGAGAAGAAUAGAUUUUCUUUUGAUGUUUUUAUAUAUCUAUUUCUUGCUUUUAUAACAUUUAUAAAGUAUAUAUUUCUUUGUCUAUGCAGAUGUAGCAUGCAGAAUUUGCAAAUAUAGUGGCAGCAUGCACAUCAAUUUUAAGUGUUUUUUGGUUUGGCGGUCUUGCUGUGCAGAUUGUACAAAGACACCACUUUGCCUCACACCUGAAGAGAAUGGCUGUUGUCGUUCGUGUUGAAGAAGAAUUAUUGGCUUUUGUAAAGGGUGCACCGGAAACUAUUUAAGAGAGGCUAGUUGAUUUACCAUCAACGUAUGUGGAAACAUACAAGAAAUACACACGACAAGGUUCUCGGGUUUUGGCUCUUGCAUACAAGAAACUUCCGAAAAUGUUUUAUGAUGCCUCCACAAUGUGGGAGAAGAGAACUUUGGCGUUCGACAGAUAUCUGAUCUCCGAGCCAGCAAGUGCAUAUUUCCCCUGUACAUUGCACAUGAUAUCAAGGAGGCCCAUUUUUUUCUGUUAAUUUACCCCCACUCCACCAAACCCAAAAAAAAAACAGAUCCUGUGGGGUCCAUUUCAUAUGUUUGAUUAUUAUUGUAUCUACACAUCUGAGAGAGUGGAUUAUGAAUAAUUUGUAGACAAUGGAUCCAAGUCUCAAGAUUCUUGUAUUUGAAAUUUAAGGCAAUGUGUAACUGUCACACAGUGUUAAUUUCAAGCUAAUGUCUAGAUUGGGUUUUUAAUUUAUAAUUGUCCAGUUAUCAUUUAAUUUCUAAGAGGUAAUUGGUAGUCGGUGUUAGAUUUUUGCUAUAUUCUUUUACUGCUUGAAAUAUAACCGAUAAUUGGCAUAUAUUAUCCUUUGAGGUCCAUUGCAUAUGUUUGAUUUUAUUGUAUCUACACAUCUGUGAGAGUGGAUUAUGAAUAAUUUGUAGACAAAAUGGAUCCAAGUCUCAAGAUUCUUGUAUUUGAAAUUUAAGGCAAUGCGUAACGGUGUUAAUUCAAGCUAAUGUCUAGAUCGGGUUUUUAAUUUUUAAUUGUCCAGUUAUCAUUUAAUUUCUAAGAGGUAAUUGGUAGUCGGUGUUAGAUUUUUGCUAUAUUCUUUUACUGCUUGAAAUAUAACCGGUAAUUAGCAUAUAUUAUGUGAAAAUUUCAUACACAAUAAAUAUUUGAUGCACUAGGCAUGUUUCACAUUUAUGAAAAUUGUGAUUAAAUUUAAACAAGUAAAUAAAAUUUCUUUAUACCAAACUAUAUAUGUGUACGUAUGCAUGAAAUAAUAUAAUGUUGAUGUUAACAAUUCAUGUUGAGAAUAGAAUUCAUAAGGAUGAAUUACAUGAAGAGCAUCACAAUUGGAAUGAUGAACGGUUGGAGAAGCAUCAUCAAGAAAAUUUGUGCCUGGUUUAAAAAUUAUGUCCAAGAUCCAAAC